rnacentral:rRNA from 1 species
AUUGAACGCUGGCGGCAUGCCUUACCCAUGCAAGUCGAACGGCAGCACGGGGCAACCUGGUGGCGAGUGGCGAACGGGUGAGUAAUGCAUCGGAACGUACCUUUCAGUGGGGGAUAAAGUAGCGAAAGUUACGCUAAUACCGCAUAUUUUGUGAGCAGGAAAGCAGGGGAUCGCAAGAACUUUCGCUGAUUGAGCGGCCGAUGCCAGAGUAGCCAGUUGGUGAGGGAAAGGCUCACCAAGGCGACGAUCUGUAGCGGGUCUGAGAGGAUGAUUCGCCACACUGGAACUGAGACACGAUCCAGACUCAUACGGGAGGCAGCAGUGGGGAAUUUUGGACAAUGGGGGCAACCCUGAUCCAUCCAUGCCGCGUGAGUGAAGAAGGCUUUCGGGUUGUAAAGCUCUUUCGGCCGGGAAGAAAUCGCACGGGCUAAUACCCUGUGUGGAUGACGGUACCGGAAUAAGAAGCACCGGCUAACUACGUGCCAGCCGCCGCCGUAACAC